ACAGGGCUUCCGAGGCGAUCAGGCAGCAUCAGUCUUCAGCCACUAAACCGAGAAGAUCUGAGAAAGAGUCAGUCAGAGAGCCUUGGGCCAGAGUUCCAGGGGCUCUGGGAGUGGCUUCCAGAAAAUAGGAAGAAAGGAAGAAUUAAAGAAAGAAGAAAGGAAAGAAGAAAAGAAGGCAGGAAGGAAGAACAAAAGGAGGGAAUGAAGGACAAAAACAAAGAUAAAGAAAGAGAGAAUGAAAAGGUCAUUCAGGAAUUUAAAAUGUGAACCGCAAAGUUUCACCAGGACUUCCAAACAGCCCAGGCCUAAGGAAGAGCGGCUUUAUGAAGGAGUUUCCAAGACAGGGACCUCUGUGAAUGGUGUUAGCACACUCUUAAAUGCUUAUCGAUGAUCAGUGAAGAGACCACAGGGAUCCCAAAAACCCUUACUUCCAGCUAUCCUGACUUCCCAAGACUGGCUCUUCAGGACGUCACUAUGGACCAGACAGGUGGACUUCCAGGCCAACAGCAUGGCAAGGAGCUUCCUGGAAUGCCAUGAAAUCCAAAAGUCAGAAUAAGAUUAUUUGCCCCAUGGAGGACUUGCCUAAUUACCAGAAUAAGGUUGGCAGUUUGUGAUAUCUUCUGGUUAAGUUUUCAACUUUAGUUAUGAAGUUACCACGAGAAGCAGGAGUUAUGAAUACAAAGCAUUCAGAAAAUUUGCCAGCAUGGACUUAUAUCUCUAAAAUAGGAUUGGCUCAAGUGAUUUCAAGGCACCAUACCAAGACCUGUGUUAUGUCGGAGCAAACAAAAGACAACAGAUAUUCCUU
ensembl:lncRNA novel transcript